rnacentral:rRNA from 1 species
GAUGAACGCUGGCGGCGUGCCUAACACAUGCAAGUCGAACGGAGCUGUCGGAGCUUGCUUUGACAGCUUAGUGGCGAACGGGUGAGUAACGCGUGAGCAACCUGCCCUUGAGAGGGGGAUAACAUCGGGAAACCGAUGCUAAUACCGCAUAAAAUAUGCAGAUGGCAUCAUUGGCAUAUCAAAGGAGAAAUCCGCUCAAGGAUGGGCUCGCGUCUGAUUAGAUAGUUGGUGAGGUAACGGCCCACCAAGUCGACGAUCAGUAGCCGGACUGAGAGGUUGACCGGCCACAUUGGGACUGAGACACGGCCCAGACUCCUACGGGAGGCAGCAGUGGGGAAUAUUGGGCAAUGGGGGGAACCCGUGACCCAGCAACGCCGCGUGAAGGAAGAAGGCCUUCGGGUUGUAAACUUCUUUGACAGGGGAAGAAGGAAGUGACGGUACCCUGAGAACAAGCUCCGGCUAACUACGUG